UAGGGAGCAGGAAGGUGCCUAAGUGGGGCAGGUGGGAGUUUCAGGGACGCUGUGUACCUGGAAAGUGCGGAUCUUCCAUAAGCCCACGUAAACUUCACUAGGCUGCCCACUUCUCACUAACGAUGGCUAUGCCUUGCUAGUUACAUAAAUCAAAACUGCAACAUAAAGACAGAACUGAUCUCAUUAUGCCAGCAUGGCUGUGGCUUCCUUCAGGCAGAAGGCAGAGUGCAGAGUGCUCCCUUUGCAGAGCCCAGCCCUGAGCUUAGGAUCUGCAGCCAGCCUGAAGCUCAGCUCCUCUCACCCUCACCCCCACAUACAGGCCACGCCCAGAGGCCUGCUCCGGGAGAACCCUUGCUGUCUGCACCUUCUCCCCUGGCUGCUUUCACAUGCUCUGACUCUGGGUCUUUGGGUCUCUACUUCAAUGUUACUUCAUGGCAGAGACCUUCCAAGAUCACUGUGUCUCUCUGUCUCCUGCUGUAUGCUCUCUCCACAGCCUCCUUGUGCCUCCAAGGCCUCCUGAGCGCCAACACCCAGGAUACACCCGGGUUUAUCUGCAGAGUUGUGGACAGUCCUGGCUUAAACCCUAUAUUUUAGUCCUGCUGCCUGUGGCUUCUCAGCUUGCAGCAGGUUCUUUGAUUUUUUCCUUCCUCUGGGAUAAGAGUUCUAUUCAGGCAGUGUUUUUCAUUUGCUGCUUCAUUUGCUGCUUCUCCAGCUCAGCUGGAAGGACUCCUAGACUCUGCUAAAUGCGCACCUUGAACUGGGAAUGAAGGAAACAUUAGUUGGCGUAGGUUACAGGGAAGCCAUGGUGGGUGCUGUGCUCCCAGAGGUGAAAUUCAGUGAGCUGCUGGAGGUAGGACAGCCCGAUGCAUUCCCCAGCAAGCCAGCACGGAGCGUGCACUUCCCUCUCAUGCUUCGGGACAGUCUCAGCAUCGCCACAGUGAGCAGAGUGACAUCUAGAAAAACUCACUUGUUUUCGUCAUGGCACCAGGAGUCUUACCCUAACUGUAUUGUUUAUGAAUGAAUCAAGAGGAAAAACACUUGUUUUGGAAACAUAAAAAUGUCUAAAUGAAAAUGUUAAAAUUUAAGACAUUUUUACAGCUCACAUAUUUAAGGUGCAGAGAGAGAGUUGGAGGGCUGAGGGGGAGCCUGUGAGAAGAUGAUCAUGAAACCAGAGGCCCCAUCGGCCAGUGGAGGGGAAGCCUCGGGGCUCUGACUGCUCUGAGCCUCGGCAGCGUGUCUCCUGUGUAAAGGUGAUCCUUCUCCUGCGGUGCUGCCAACCAACCAAGCGUUCUUUCAUUCAGUUCAGAGGGAAAUCACGAAUUGGUAAAGUACAGACAACUCUGCUAGAAGUCUCGAUGUCACCAGAAGACACCAGAUAGUGCUGGAUGCCCACAGCGGACACAGCUAGGGGCUGGGCUCAUCCAGUGAAGCCUGGUGCCAGCUUGUGGUGGACAUUGUAGGUUGAGUCUAACAGGUACUGUUUGUUGCUCUUUUUCAAAUGAAACUGCUCUGUUCUGAGUAGGUUUUCAGGAUCUUGAGAGCCCAUGCCACCUGAGAAACAAAUCACAAGCAGGUUCACAGGACUACCGAAACAAGUGUUGAUGUUUGAGGGACAGAGGUGAAGCAGAGGGCCUCAAGACAUUGGGGGUAAGGGUGGGUGGUGCUUACAUAGCAGCUUCUGGCCUGUUUUUGGUCCAAGUGGAGGCCUGCCAUCGGUUCAAGUGGACUGAUGCUCCAGAAUAGCCACAGCUGUCUUAGUAGGAAUCCAGUCAGGGGUCCAGGUAACAUUCACUGAUUGGCAGCUGCAGCAUCUCUGGGAAAAAUGGCCAGGCUGAAAUCAGGAAAUCUUUGGGAGGGCCAACUGUGUUCAUUACAGCUACCUGGGGACAGAGGAGGCUGGGGAUGUUAUAAUGGACCCAGAUCCAUCUUCUCUGGAUCUUCAGCCCCUUUUUAAAAGCAGCAGCAGGGUCUGAAGUGACAGGAGGGGCACUGGAGUUGACAGCCAAGUUGCACUCCUUCCAGAGCUGUUUGGAAGACAGUGGCUGCCAAAUAACCAGGGAAGACAUGGGGCAGGUUGUCCCCCAAUCCUACUCCCCCAGUCCACUGUGGGGAGUGAGGGGUGCAGUGACACCAGCCAAGCCGCACUCCCUCCACCAGCACAGGAAAAGCAAGUCAGGUGCUUCCCAUCCAUCUCAAUUGAGCAACCACCUCACAGAAGUCAUUGCUUCUCCUCCCUCUGGCAUCUCUGGCUCCUGGGACCGAGUCCAUCUGGCUCCCACCACAGCCAAGUGGACUGCAGACUUCCUGUCUGUGCCAGCGGAUCUCUGCAGUGAAGUCUGCAGCUCAGGUCCAGGGCUCUGGGGAGGAGGCAAGCCACCAGAUCAGCCCUCUAAGCUUCCCACUGCAACCUGAGUUAUUUGCUUCUUUUCAGCAACUGAAUGCCCGAGUGGCAUGUUGUGCAGCAUAAACAAGAGCCUGGAACCUCCUUGGGGAGAGACUUAAAGUCUAGCCAUUUCCCCUAUUAGGAGAACAAAAAGAUCUAGUUGGCAUGAACAAUAGGUGACCACAGUGAUAGUUGUAUAUGGUGCAUGUCACAAUGUUAGAAAACAGCAUUCUGUGGAGAAGUAAUUUAUUAUGCCUGUGGAAACAGAUGUGACCCACCUGACAAUGUAUGACACGAUAGAUACAUGUAUUAAAACAUCAUAUUUUGUCCCAAAAAUAUACAUACUUUUCAUAGUAAAUGUAGGUUUAAUUUAAAUUACAAAUAAAAUUAAAUUUUUGCUUAAGAA